GAUGAAGAACGCAGCGAAACGCGAUAAGUAAUGUGAAUUGCAGAAUUCAGUGAAUCAUCGAAUCUUUGAACGCACAUUGCGCCCGGCAGUACUCUGCCGGGCAUGCCUGUUCGAGCGUCAUUUCAACCCUCAAGCCCUGCUUGGUGUUGGGGUCCCACGGCCGCCGUGGGCCCUGAAAGGAAGUGGCGGGCUCGCUACAACUCCGAGCGUAGUAAUUCAUUAUCUCGCUUAGGGCGUUGGGCGGCGCUCCUGCCGUUAAAGAACCAUCUUUAACUCAAGGUUGACCUCGGAUCAGGUAGGAAUACCCGCUGAACUUAAGCAUAUCAAUAAGCGGAGGA
rnacentral:misc_RNA from 1 species